rnacentral:sRNA from 2 species
GGCCCCAUACAGUAGUUUAAAAAAAAGAAAAAAAUCCAUCAAUGUCAUUAUUCGUUAAUGUUAAUAUAUGAUCUAAUACAGGGAAUAUUAUUGAUCUGUCAUGGCAUCUAUGAUGACCUUGGACAGCAACAAUCAAAAGGUUCCUUCGAAAACCUCAUCCUUCUCCGAUCAUGUCCGGAAAACGAACAUGCCAUAGCAACCUAACCGCAUUCCGUAAACAAACGAACAUAAUAAAAUUUAAUAAGAAUAAAAAUCAAAAAUAAUACCCGGAGCUCAAUGUCACAUCGCCCCUGCUUGAACGCCGAUGAUGCUAAUACAAGAAAACAAUCGAUCAAACUCUAUUAUAAGGUCGAAGCUCUCUGAAGGCCAACGCAAUACCGUACAAAAAGGGUAUCGAUAAAAUGCUCGUGUUUGAUUCCCGGAGGUCGGCAUCUUUCGAAUUCGUCUAUUGCGCCCUGAACGGAGAAUCCCUUUUUCUCGAUAAGAUAUGAAACGACAAAAAAACCGGUCCUGUUAAAUCCGUAGUGACAGUGAACUCCAAGUACUGGCCGCAGAGCC